CACUAGAAAGCUAAAUGGACAAGCAUUAGCCUUUUAAGCUAAAGAUUGGUGGCCCCUACCCACCUCUAGUGA
rnacentral:tRNA from 2 species